UUGUUUAAUGGAGAAAGAUUAGAGAGCUUCUCACCUUCCAGGGGUAUCAGGCAGGGAGAUCCUAUUUCCCCUUACUUAUUCUUGAUUGCAGCGGAGGGCCUUUCGUGCCUUUUAAAACACAGUUCUCAGUCAUUAGUGCUCGGUGGCAUAAAGGUGGCGCCCACGGCUCCGGUAGUGAACCACCUUUUGUUUGCAGAUGACAGCCUGCUGCUUUUCAAGUCUAGUGUCCAGGGGGCAAAUGAGGUUUCAAACCUACUUGAUGCAUAUUGCUUGGCUUCGGGCCAAAGGGUAAACUAUGAUAAAUCGUCCAUAUUUUUCAGUAAGGGAUGCCCGGAGACCCUCAGGGUGGAGAUAAAGAAUAUACUUAAUGUGCAGAAUGAGUCUUUGAGUCAAAAGUAUUUG
rnacentral:rRNA from 1 species